AGCGGUGGGGUCUGUGUUGGUACAGGCAGGCGGCCGUUAACCGUCCCUACGCGGGUUCGAUUCCUGCCACCGCUG
rnacentral:tRNA from 1 species